ACAGUAAAAGUCAAGGGGUAUUUAAAGGUUACUGGCGGUACAAAGAGAGAGAGAGAGUGGGCGACGGCAGUAAAAGUCAAGGGGUAUUUAAAGGUUACUGGCGGUACAAAGAGAGAGAGAGAGUGGGCGACGGAGGGAGAGAGAGAGCUCGGCGGAGGCAGAGUAAGAUAGAGAGAGGCGCGGCGGUGAUGGAGGAACCGGCUAUGGUCUCCGGCUGACGGUAAUGUUGUCGAUCAUCACUGAAUGGGAACGUGACGGCCGGGGGUUCUAGGGUUCCGGCGGCGGUACCGGUCACUCUAAUCGGUCGAUUCUGGAGACGGUAGAGAGAGAAGCAGCAUACGGUAAUGUUGUCGAUCGUCGCUGAAUGGGAACUUGACGGCCGAGGGUUCUAGGGUUCCGGCGGCGGUACAUGCGAGACAUACAAAGAGCAACAGAGAGAAGCAGCAUACGGUAGAGAGAGAGAGAGAGGAGAGCGGGCGGAGAUACGUUGGCGACGGUGACACGGUGGUGGCGUUGAGGGUUCCAUUUCUCCUGAGCCCUAAUUCAAGAAAAAAACAAGUUGAGGCCUAAAUCGACCUAAGCCUGUACCGGAUAUCAAACAUCACCACCGUCCUUACCAAGUACCAACAACAAUCAGCCGUAUUUGUGAAAUCCUUCGAAGCCAGGAGCCACCGGGUAUUGAUAAACAAAUCCCUCAGAUGAUCUUCGUGACAGACUUGAACCGUAAAUUAGUUUCAUUGUUGAGGUUAUGGACAUGUUGAAUUUUGUCAUUACUAAUACAACUAAAAAGGCCCUUGAAACUAUUACUCGAUAGUGCUGUGAAACUUCAUUUAGCAGGGGAAAGAGGCGCAUACACCCCCUAUAACAACUUCAAUAUCAACCUCUCGACAAUGACGACAUGACACCUAAAGAAUACCACAUAUCUUGAUGCAAUGAUCAGCCUUCAGUCUUGCUAUUCUAUCAAAGAUUACAUAUGCGAGCUUCAAGAUGAAUGUUGAAGAUUGUAUCCCACACAACUUGCAUAAGAUCUGGUAAAACAACUUCAAUGGUUUCCUUACAUAGCAAUAACACACCACAGCACCAGUUCAACUUUGCAUCAUAUUUGUCUAUGUACCGUCUCUGUUAAUGACCAUGUCAUGAGGUUUUUUUGUUUUUGUUAAUGGUUCAUAUUAGCAGAUUCGUUCAGGCAUUUAUCGCGUUUUUUUAAUGGUCCUUUAACCCGAUGUUGAGGUUAUGACCCGUUUUUGCAUCGAUACAAAACACGUUUUGAUAUCACGACUUAGUGUAUUAGAUUUUUGUA